rnacentral:rRNA from 1 species
GCCUGUCUGAGGGUCGGUGAAGAC